UCUUCUUGCAAGUCUUCUCGCAGCAGUCUAUAUCCACAAAGUCUAGUCAAUGUUUGAACAUCUUCACAAAGAUGUGAUGAGUAAACAUUUUAUAUCUCUGUCCCUACAUUGAAUUCAGACUAUAAAUACAUCACAACACUCUUCAUAGCAAUGCAAAGGGAAAAGUGAAUAAUAUAUACUGAGCAUAUUAUCAAACACUUCCCAAACAUGAAGGCCAUUCUCAUUGCUUUCUUACUCUUUGCUUCUCUUUUCUUCCUUCCCACUUCAACUACGGCUCGACAACUCAAGGAAGGUUCAUUUCAGACAGGAGAUCCUAAUAAACCUGCUGUUAACUGUCCUCCCGGUCAGCCUUAUAGAAGUUGCAGUCCUUCACCGAAGCCGAAACCACCAUGCUCACCAUAUGUACGCAAUUGCUAAUAUCUGAAUGAAUUAGAUAGUUAUAGCUGUUGCUGGUGCCAUUUACACUUGCUGUGUUAAACAAUGGAGCUGCGGUCUCUAUCUUUUUCUUCAGAAUUUCCAGUGCUUUCACAUAAUAAUGUGUGUCUUUUGAGUUUACUGUAAAAUAAAUAUUUGGCCUCUGGGACAAUCCAAUAAAUAAGAAGUUCAUUGCUUAUA